AAGCUGCAAUAUGCUGGAUAUAGGUUGUUUUCAAAGAGGAGUUACAGGCACAUCAGGGAGCCAACAGUUUGCUAACCUGGGACAUGCAGAUGUACGGCUGUGCCAAACAGAAAGGGUGGAGAGGCAGAAUUCUGGAAGACAGUAGACAUGAGAUUCUCCAGCUGUUCCCUUGUUUGCUCCUUGGUGCUACAUACUACCACCACAUCUGGUGAAGAUUCAUUCAGCUGCUACAGUGCCUUCUGCAUCCCCUGGCCCUGUGGGCAGCCAAGAAGUUGCAGCACUGGCCCUGCCCACAAUGUAAAUGUGCUCUGUGGGGUCUGUCUGACAGAGCUCUUCUGC